UUUACCUACGGGGGGCAGCAGUGGGGAAUAUUGCACAAUGGGGGAAACCCUGAUGCAGCGACGCCGCGUGAGUGAGGAAGUAUUUCGGUAUGUAAAGCUCUAUCAGCAGGGAAGAAAAUGACGGUACCUGACUAAGAAGCCCCGGCUAACUACGUGCCAGCAGCCGCGGUAAUACGUAGGGGGCAAGCGUUAUCCGGAUUUACUGGGUGUAAAGGGAGCGUAGACGGAGGAGCAAGUCUGCUGUGAAAAUCCUGGGCCCAACCCAGGCACUGCGUUGGACACUGUUUAUCU
rnacentral:rRNA from 1 species